UGGGGAAUAUUGCACAAUGGGCGCAAGCCUGAUGCAGCCAUGCCGCGUGUAUGAAGAAGGCCUUCGGGUUGUAAAGUACUUUCAGCGAGGAGGAAGGCGGUAAGGUUAAUAACCUUAUCGAUUGACGUUACUCGCAGAAGAAGCACCGGCUAACUCCGUGCCAGCAGCCGCGGUAAUACGGAGGGUGCAAGCGUUAAUCGGAAUUACUGGGCGUAAAGCGCACGCAGGCGGUCUGUCAAGGCGGAUGUGAAAUCCCCGGGCUCAACCUGGGAACUGCAUUCGAAACUGGCAGGCUAGAGUCUUGUAGAGGGGGGUAGAAUUCCAGGUGUAGCGGUGAAAUGCGUAGAGAUCUGGAGGAAUACCGGUGGCGAAGGCGGCCCCCUGGACAAAGACUGACGCUCAGGUGCGAAAGCGUGGGGAGCAAACA
rnacentral:rRNA from 1 species